rnacentral:rRNA from 1 species
GACGAACGCUGGCGGCGUGCUUAACACAUGCAAGUCGAACGGAAAGGUCCUGCUUUUGUGGGGUGCUCGAGUGGCGAACGGGUGAGUAACACGUGAGUAACCUGCCCUUGACUUUGGGAUAACUUCAGGAAACUGGGGCUAAUACCGGAUAGGAGCUCCUGCUGCAUGGUGGGGGUUGGAAAGUUUCGGCGGUUGGGGAUGGACUCGCGGCUUAUCAGCUUGUUGGUGGGGUAGUGGCUUACCAAGGCUUUGACGGGUAGCCGGCCUGAGAGGGUGACCGGCCACAUUGGGACUGAGAUACGGCCCAGACUCCUACGGGAGGCAACAGUGGGGAAUAUUGCACAAUGGGCGGAAGCCUGAUGCAGCAACGCCGCGUGCGGGAUGACGGCCUUCGGGUUGUAAACCGCUUUCGCCUGUGACGAAGCGUGAGUGACGGUAAUGGGUAAAGAAGCACCGGCUAACUACGU